AGUGAACGCUGGCGGUAGGCCUAACACAUGCAAGUCGAACGGCAGCACAGUAAGAGCUUGCUCUUACGGGUGGCGAGUGGCGGACGGGUGAGGAAUACAUCGGAAUCUACUUUUUCGUGGGGGAUAACGUAGGGAAACUUACGCUAAUACCGCAUACGACCUACGGGUGAAAGCAGGGGAUCUUCGGACCUUGCGCGAUUGAAUGAGCCGAUGUCGGAUUAGCUAGUUGGCGGGGUAAAGGCCCACCAAGGCGACGAUCCGUAGCUGGUCUGAGAGGAUGAUCAGCCACACUGGAACUGAGACACGGUCCAGACUCCUACGGGAGGCAGCAGUGGGGAAUAUUGGACGAUGGGCGCAAGCCUGAUCCAGCCAUACCGCGUGGGUGAAGAAGGCCUUCGGGUUGUAAAGCCCUUUUGUUGGGAAAGAAAAGCAGUAGGUUAAUACCCCGCUGUUCUGACGGUACCCAAAGAAUAAGCACCGGCUAACUUCGUG
rnacentral:rRNA from 1 species